CCCUACGGGGGGCAGCAGUGAGGAAUAUUGGUCAAUGGUCGGGAGACUGAACCAGCCAAGCCGCGUGAGGGAUGAAGGUACAGAGUAUCGUAAACCUCUUUUGUCAGGGAACAAAGGCGGGGACGUAUCCCCGGAUGAGUGUACCUGAAGAAAAAGCAUCGGCUAACUCCGUGCCAGCAGCCGCGGUAAUACGGAGGAUGCGAGCGUUAUCCGGAUUUAUUGGGUUUAAAGGGUGCGCAGGCGGUCUGUUAAGUCAGCGGUCAAAGCCCGGGGCUCAACCCCGGCCCGCCGUUGAAAAUGGCCGG
rnacentral:rRNA from 1 species